AACGAACGCUGGCGGCAUGCCUAACACAUGCAAGUCGAACGAGACCUUCGGGUCUAGUGGCGCACGGGUGCGUAACGCGUGGGAACCUGCCCUUAGGUUCGGAAUAACUCCCCGAAAGGGGUGCUAAUACCGGAUAAUGUCUUCGGACCAAAGAUUUAUCGCCUUUGGAUGGGCCCGCGUUGGAUUAGCUAGUUGGUAGGGUAAAAGCCUACCAAGGCGACGAUCCAUAGCUGGUCUGAGAGGAUGAUCAGCCACACUGGGACUGAGACACGGCCCAGACUCCUACGGGAGGCAGCAGUGGGGAAGAUUGGACAAUGGGCGAAAGCCUGAUCCAGCAAUGCCGCGUGAGUGAUGAAGGCCUUAGGGUUGUAAAGCUCUUUUACCCGGGAUGAUAAGGACAGUACCGGGAGAAGAAGCUCCGGCUAACUCCGU
rnacentral:rRNA from 1 species